rnacentral:lncRNA from 1 species
UGUUUAUCACUAAAUUGAGUUUCAUAUUAUAGCAAUAGCAAUUUCAAGGCUUGUUUGAAGGGUUUGAUUCCACCAUUUACACAGAAAGUGGUUGUGACUUGGAGUACCCUACGAUCCACUUCACUGUAAAGGCCAUCAAUUGUCAUGUGCUAGUAUAAUUUAUUACUCCAUCUCACUACUUGAUAUUAGUGAGUAUAGUAUAUAUAGUGCAGUAGAAAAUCAAAGAAAAUUUAUCAAUUCAGGAAUAAUGGCGGCGAUUUUGGGAAAACCCACUACACAGCCCGACGAGCCCACCGGAACCACCGUAUCCACCACCUAAUGGGGACGUUACUAUGGCGGACACAGAGAUCCCCAAACUCUCAACAACAACAACAACAACAAACCCAGUGUAUUCCCACUUUGUGGGGUCUGGGGGGGUAAGAUGGACGCAGUCCAUACCUCUACCUCUGAUGAAGUAGAAAGGCUGUUUCCGAAAGACCCCCGGCUCAAGUUACGAGAUAUCAAACAAACACAUAGUACAGCACAGAAGCAGAUGACAUAACAUAGAUACUGCAGCCAUAAGGAAUAUAAAACAGAGAAAAGCACACAGAUUCGUAACAAACAUAGAACACGGAACACGGAACAGAACAUUGAAUACGGAAUCAUACCAGGAAUACACCCCCACCAAUUACCUCCCUACAUUAGCGACCCGAACAGGCCCUAAUCCUCUGCCGUAAUUCGCGUCUUCCAGACCUUCCUAUCUAGGGUCAUGUCCUCGGUAAGCUGUAACUGUUCCAUGUCCCGCCUAAUCACCUCA